rnacentral:pre_miRNA from 1 species
AGGAGGAACAGCAACAGUGGUGGCGGCCAGCUCUGGAGCCCUGGAGUCAGCUCCCGCAGGAACUCCGGAGCUCUCAGUCUGCAGAGGCCUGGAUGCUCCGCGGCGGG